GGAGCUGAAGGCAGUCGAAGAUACCAGCUGGCUGCAACUGUUUAUUAAAAACACAGCACUGUGCAAACACGAAAGUGGACGUAUACGGUGUGACGCCUGCCCGGUGCCGGAAGGUUAAUUGAUGGGGUUAUCCGCAAGGAGAAGCUCUUGAUCGAAGCCCCGGUAAACGGCGGCCGUAACUAUAACGGUCCUAAGGUAGCGAAAUUCCUUGUCGGGUAAGUUCCGACCUGCACGAAUGGCGUAAUGAUGGCCAGGCUGUCUCCACCCGAGACUCAGUGAAAUUGAACUCGCUGUGAAGAUGCAGUGUACCCGCGGCAAGACGGAAAGACCCCGUGAACCUUUACUACAGCUUGACACUGAACAUUGAGCCUUGAUGUGUAGGAUAGGUGGGAGGCUUUGAAGCGUGGACGCCAGUCUGCGUGGAGCCAACCUUGAAAUACCACCCUUUAACGUUUGAUGUUCUAACCUGGCGCCGUAAUCCGGCGUGGGGACAGUGUCUGGUGGGUAGUUUGACUGGGGCGGUCUCCUCCUAAAGAGUAACGGAGGAGCACGAAGGUUAGCUAAUCACGGUCGGACAUCGUGAGGUUAGUGCAAUGGCAUAAGCUAGCUUGACUGCGAGAGUGACGGCUCGAGCAGGUGCGAAAGCAGGUCAUAGUGAUCCGGUGGUUCUGAAUGGAAGGGCCAUCGCUCAACGGAUAAAAGGUACUCCGGGGAUAACAGGCUGAUACCGCCCAAGAGUUCAUAUCGACGGCGGUGUUUGGCACCUCGAUGUCGGCUCAUCACAUCCUGGGGCUGAAGUAGGUCCCAAGGGUACGGCUGUUCGCCGUUUAAAGUGGUACGCGAGCUGGGUUUAGAACGUCGUGAGACAGUUCGGUCCCUAUCUGCCGUGGGCGCUGGAGAAUUGAGAGGGGUUGCUCCUAGUACGAGAGGACCGGAGUGAACGCACCGCUGGUGUUCGGGUUGUCAUGCCAAUGGCAUUGCCCGGUAGCUAAGUGCGGAAAAGAUAAGCGCUGAAAGCAUCUAAGCGCGAAACUUGCCUCGAGAUGAAUUCUCCCUGGGUCCUCGAGACCCCUGAAGGGACGUUGAAGACUACGACGUUGAUAGGCCGGGUGUGUAAGCGCAGCGAUGCGUUGAGCUAACCGGUACUAAUGACCCGUGAGGCUUAACCUU
rnacentral:rRNA from 1 species